rnacentral:rRNA from 1 species
UACGAAGGGGGCUAGCGUUGCUCGGAAUCACUGGGCGUAAAGCGCACGUAGGCGGAUUGCUAAGUCAGGGGUGAAAUCCUGGAGCUCAACUCCAGAACUGCCUUUGAUACUGGCGAUCUUGAGUCCGGGAGAGGUGAGUGGAACUGCGAGUGUAGAGGUGAAAUUCGUAGAUAUUCGCAAGAGCACCAGUGGCGAAGGCGGCUCACUGGCCCGGUACUGACGCUGAGGUGCGAAAGCGUGGGGAGCAAACAGG